UUGUCCUUUUUGCAGGUCGCUUUAGGUAAGGAUGAUCAGAUGGCUUGGUGCUGGACGUUAGGACCGCCGGUGUAGAUUUUCAUGCCUUUUGUAAACGGUAUUGUGGAUUUGUGUUUAGUUGACUCGAUUUUGGCAUUAGGCCGGGACCGGUCUCAAUUAUAUCAAUGUAUGGAUAUUUCUCGAAUUAAUAAAGUAAUUGUUUUAUAUGCGCUUCAUGAGUACUCUGAU
rnacentral:lncRNA from 1 species